rnacentral:lncRNA from 1 species
CCCUUUCUUUGAUCUCUUUGGGACAUAGACUUAGUAAUGGUACUGCUGUGUCCAACAGUAUGCACAGUUUGAUGGCCUUUUAAGCAUGGUUUCAGAUUGAUCUCCAGAAUGGUUAUAUCAGUUCAUAGCUCCACUGGCAUUGUGUUAGUAGUCCAAUUCUUCCAUAUCCCCUCUAACAUUCAUCAUUUCCCACUUUUGUCAUGUUAGCCAGUUUAAUGGUAUGCUAAUGUUUAACGGUAUGCUGAUGUAGACAGGAGAUAAAUUCAGUGGAGUUCCCUCUCUUGGCCACUUUUUCCUUCCUGUGGUGGCUUUGGUGGAGCAGGCUUUUUUGAGCAGAUGUGCAUGUAAAAUUUUAAAUACUGGCAGAAAUCUGAUGUAUGCCUAGAAAGAUCCUAUACUCUGAAAUAACAGUUGAUGGGAAUAUUUUUUAAGGACAAUGGAGCAGUAAUGUGGCAAAUGCCUUGAAUAUACUUCCCUUAGUCCUCAGGCACAAUGACAUCACCUCUCAGCUUCCAAAUAGUAUUUCUGAGACUCCUCUACUACUUUUGUUCCAGUGUCAGCUCCUUAUUCUCCUCUGUUAGUGAUUUGGAUCAUGGCCCAGAAGAUUUGAGAGAGGAGACUUGUUUCCAGACUCUCUUCACUUCCCUGAAGGGAGAGAAAAACUAUAGGAUGAAGCCAGCUAACUACUAAACUCUUUAGGGAAUUUCCCCUUGGAUCAGAUCUGGGAUUCUCUCUCU